AUAUAUACCAAGCUAUGCAGAGGUUUUUUUUUAGAGUAAAAAUAGACAGCAGGAAAUCAUGCUAUAAUCUAAGAUUCUCUUUUUAGCGUGAGCCUGUUUGGCCUAAGAAACCACACAGUGCUCUGUGGAGACUUGUCCUAAUUUCUGGAGUAUUUAUCAGUGAGGAAAGAACCCAGGACUGAAAGUCAGGGCCCAGGUCUGGCUCUUCCACCAUUCUUCUUCUUCUUCUUCUUCUUUAUUUUUUUGCUGAGGAAGAUUGGCCCUGAGCUAACAUCUGUGCCAAUCUUCCUAUAUUUUAUGUGGGAUGCUGCCACAGCAUGGCCACUGACAAGUGGUAUAAGUCCAUGCCCAGGAACUGAAGCCAGUCUGCCGAAGUGGAGCACGCCAAGCUUAACCACUAGGCCAUGGGGCCAGCCCCUGCCACCAUUCUGCUGGGCAAGAUGGGGCAAGAAAUUUCAUUGCUUCAGUUCUCAAUUUUUUCAUUUAUUGAAGGACUACCCUGGGUUUCUCAACCUCAGUAGUGUAGAUACUUUGGCCUAGGUCAUUCUUUGUUAUGAAGGGCUUGCCCUAUACAUUAUACGGUGUUUAGCAGCUCCCUGGCCUCUACCCACUAGAGGCCAGUAGCACCCUCCACCUCUGCCCGAGUUGUGACAAUGAAAAAUGUCUCUAAACAUGAUCAAAUGUCCCCUGGGGGGCAAAAUCACCCCCAGUUGGGAACUACUGGCUAGAAGCAGAUUUUACAUUCACAGAAUAUGUGCUGAGAACACCCGAUGGGGAAGGCUCUGUGCUGUGCGCCUGGGACACAGAGGAGGAAAGAGGACAUGCCCUCCUGUCUGCGUGGAGCUUCCAUCUCAUGGGGAAGGAGAGUCUUCAGGCUAUUGGGAGACACGUGGACAGGUGUACUCCUGCACAUGCAGGAGUCAGGGAUCCUCUGCACCUGUUAUUCUGGGAACAUACAAGCCCUGGAUACACUCAGUCACUUCUUAAUAAGUGAUGUGUUUUGGCCCAUUGCCUCCUCAGUGAGGACUUGAGAAAGAUGCCUCAGCUGAUUGGAAGGAGGGCUUUGUGAGCUCUGUGCUAGGUGCUGGGGAUGCCUGUGAGAGAGACAAUCAAG
rnacentral:lncRNA from 1 species